GUCAGUUGGCAAUCCGAGCUUCGCAAGGAGGUUGACUAUUGUUGACCAGUGGUUGCUCUGAGUUUUUCUAAGUUGGCGUUGACUCAAUAGCUUGGCUCGAUUGCAUGGGACGGCUGUGGUGGAAUGGUGGAUGCUUCCCAACCGGUUUCCACGCGCAACCUAUCAACGCGUCGAAAUGUGUAGCACAGUGGCGGAGAAAAUUAAACGACUCGCCAAAUAAAGCGAACGGAGCGAAGAGCUCCGCGUGGCUGUUGGGCGCCACAUAAAUGAUGAGCAACUAUUAAACUCUGUGCAGCUUCAACUAAAUCAAUUAAGCCAACAAGCUAGAAACAACAACAACAGCCACAUGGCCCAGAAGGAGCUGCGCCAGCAGGCAGCUAAACAAAGUAAUGGCAACGAGGCCAUUAUCAUCAUCGUCCUGUGACGCAUUCCCGUUCCCCGUUCCGUGCUCCGCCAAUUCCCACUCUCCGGCUCCCAACCUCAUCCCCAUUUCCCUGGUCUCGUCAUCGUUAGCAUUUAGCAGCACAAGCAACAACAUAACUCACGGCAGGCAGGGGAGGACCAGCUCGGCAGGACCAGGAGGUAAUGGAGUCGUCUAGGUUGGGGUCGGGGGCGCAUUCUGUUUGCCCAUCCGUGCGUUUCCCAGCUGAGAUAGCGCUGGUGCGAAGUGCGUGUGUGGGUGUUGGCUACACUCAUCGAAAUGGUCGAUGUGCCAAUGGAAACCUAUGCUUCGGCUACCACACCUAUGAUAAAAACGUAUUUUUAUUGAUUUGUUUUUUGUGGCAUCUUCCUGGAGGAUGUGCCGCAGAUAACAUAACUUAAGGCAAUAGUCUCAGUAUAAAACAGAAGUUCAGAAGACGAUACAGUAAUAAAUUUUAAUAUUUGUAUUAAAACUGC
ensembl:ncRNA lncRNA:CR43452 long non-coding RNA:CR43452